GACGAACGCUGGCGGCGUGCUUAACACAUGCAAGUCGAACGGAAAGGCCCUGCUUUUGUUUGGUGCUCGAGUGGCGAACGGGUGAGUAACACGUUAGUAACCUCCCCUUUUCUUUGGGAUAACUUCAGGAAACUGGGGCUAAUACCGGAUAUGAGCUCCUGCUGCAUGUUGUGGGUUGGAAAUUUUCGGGGGUUGGGGCUGGACUCGCGGCUUAUCAGCUUGUUGGUGGGGUAGUGGCUUACCAAGGCUUUGACGGGUAGCCGGCCUGGGAGGGUGACCGGCGACAUGGGGACUGAGAUACGGCCCAGACUCCUACGGGAGGCAGCAGGGGGGAAAAUGGCAAAAUGGGCGGAAGCCUGAGGCAGCAACGCCGGGUGCGGGAUGACGGCCUUCGGGUGGAAAACCGCUUUCGCAUGUAACGAAGCGUGAGUGACGGUAAUGGGUAAAGAAGCACCGGCUAACUACGUG
rnacentral:rRNA from 1 species